rnacentral:rRNA from 1 species
UACGGGGGGAGCACGCGUUGUUCGGAUUUACUGGGCGUAAAGGGCGCGUAGGCGGUCAGCACAGGUCAGUUGUGAAAUCUCCGGGCUUAACUCGGAAAGGUCAACUGAUACUGUGCGACUAGAGUGCAGAAGGGGCAACUGGAAUUCUCGGUGUAGCGGUGAAAUGCGUAAAUAUCGAGAGGAACACCUGCGGCGAAGGCGGGUUGCUGGGCUGACACUGACGCUGAGGCGCGAAAGCCAGGGGAGCGAACGGG